UUCCUUGGUUGCACAAAAAAUAAACAAAUAAACCAAAUAUAUAUAUAUAUAUAUUAGAUGCUGCAAGCUCUAUAAGACGUCCAGUUUGUGAGACUCAGCAGAAGAUUUUCCGCUUCUGGCUAAUUCCUUUGUUUAAGAACAGAAGUGGGAUAUCAGAUCAGAUUAAAAUGAGUUGCUAAAACAACUCUGUCGCUACGGUAACCCACUAGAGCAGGGGUCUGCAGCCUGAGGCUCCUUGUACCUCUCCGCAUGGCUGUUUGGGUGAAGAAAAACAAAAGGUGCCCUAACUUUAAAAAAUGACUUUCAUAAUAUUGAUUUAAUUUGAGAUGAUUUAGGUUUAUGGCUGAGGCUGGUGGAACAGUCCUAACGUUUCACCAGCUCAAAGGACUUCAUGAUAUCUACGAUUACUCUAUUUUGGACUCAUUUUAAAUACUUUCAAAACUUUAGCUAAAUGUUUCUCUGCUCUUUUUCACAAUAAUGUUUAUUGACUUUACAAGAGAAGCAAGGAAAAUAAAUGUAUAUUUUAGUGCCGGGAAUCGAUUAAAGAAAAAUAACUAAUUAAUCGCAAACUUGGGGAAAGAUUAAUAACGAUUCAUUAUGAUUAUUUCUUUUUUAUUUACAGUAUUCGACGAAGACUUAUUAUCUGCGAAUAAUCACAAAAUGAAAUUUACAUGACAACGUGCCGGAUCAUGGAUCAAAUAGUCCGCUUUAUGUGAAAAAGUGAUCUUAACCAAAAAAAUAACAAGAUUAAAUACUAAAAACAGAUUGAAUGUUUAUUUCUUUUGUGAAUAACUAUAGUAUAAUUGGGGAAAGAACCCAUGAAGUGUUUUAAUGCUGUGGAUGGCUGCAAAGAGAGGCUGCUGCUCCGCGAGGUGAGGUUCAUUUGUUGUGAUAAAUAUUAACGUGUUAGUCAUAAUUUGUUAAUCGCAUGUGUUAAUGCAUCAGCGUGCACGACCUGGUAGUUUAUCUACUUCUGUUGAGUAAUGAAGGUUAACAGCAGGAGGGAAAAGGAUGACAGCCAUUGGGUGGGACGAUCCUACGUGGAACAGGAAGUCUUUUAUUUUGAAAGGAAGCCAUAUGACCUGUCAAAUAAAAAAAAAUAUUGGAUUUUUAUUGUAAAAUAUUAGUAAAUGAUUCGUGAAAAAAAAAA